rnacentral:rRNA from 1 species
CCUACGGGGUGCUGCAGUGGGGAAUAUUGCACAAUGGGCGAAAGCCUGAUGCAGCAACGCCGCGUGAAGGAAGAAGGCCUUCGGGUCGUAAACUUCUGUCCUUGGGGAAGAAGAACUGACGGUACCCAAGGAGGAAGCCCCGGCUAACUACGUGCCAGCAGCCGCGGUAAUACGUAGGGGGCAAGCGUUAUCCGGAAUUAUUGGGCGUAAAGAGUACGUAGGUGGCAACCUAAGCGCAGGGUUUAAGUCAAUGGCUCAACCAUUGUUCGCCCUGCGAACUUGGAUGCUUGAGUGCAGGAGAGGAAAGCGGAAUUCCUAGUGUAGCGGUGAAAUGCGUAGAUAUAAGGAAGAACACCAGUGGCGAAGGCGGAUUACUGGACGAUAACUGACGGUGAGGCGCGAAAGCGUGGGGAGCAAACAGGAUUAGAUACCCUUGUAGUC